rnacentral:rRNA from 1 species
CACGAGUGGCGAACGGGUGAGUAACACGUGGGUAAUCUGCCCUGCACUUCGGGAUAAGCCUGGGAAACUGGGUCUAAUACCGGAUAUGAACUCCUGCCGCAUGGUGGGGGUUGGAAAGUUUUUCGGUGCAGGAUGAGCCCGCGGCCUAUCAGCUUGUUGGUGGGGUAAUGGCCUACCAAGGCGACGACGGGUAGCCGGCCUGAGAGGGUGAUCGGCCACACUGGGACUGAGACACGGCCCAGACUCCUACGGGAGGCAGCAGUGGGGAAUAUUGCACAAUGGGCGAAAGCCUGAUGCAGCGACGCCGCGUGGGGGAUGACGGUCUUCGGAUUGUAAACCCCUUUCAGUAGGGACGAAGCGCAAGUGACGGUACCUGCAGAAGAAGCACCGGCUAACUACGUGCCAGCAGCCGCGGUAAUACGUAGGGUGCGAGCGUUGUCCGGAAUUACUGGGCGUAAAGAGCUCGUAGGCGGUUUGUCACGUCGUCUGUGAAAUCCCUCGGCUUAACCGGGGGCGUGCAGGCGAUACGGGCAGACUUGAGUACUACAGGGGAGACUGGAAUUCCUGGUGUAGCGGUGAAAUGCGCAGAUAUCAGGAGGAACACCGGUGGCGAAGGCGGGUCUCUGGGUAGUAACUGACGCUGAGGAGCGAAAGCAUGGGUAGCGAACAGGAUUAGAUACCCUGGUAGUCCAUGCCGUAAACGGUGGGCGCUAGGUGUGGGGUCCUUCCACGGACUCCGUGCCGUAGCUAACGCAUUAA